rnacentral:rRNA from 1 species
UGCACCAGUCGCGAAACCUCCGCAAUACGCGAAAGCGUGACGGGGUCACCCCGAGUGCCGCCCGCUGAGGGUGGCUUUUCCCCAGUGUAGCAAGCUGGGGGAAUAAGGGGAGGGCAAGUCGGGUGUCAGCCGCCGCGGUAAUACCCGCUCCCCGAGUGGUGGGGACGCUUAUUGGGCCUAAAGCAUCCGUAGCCGGCUGGGUAAGUCCCCUGUUAAAUCCAGCGAUUUAAUCGCUGGACUGCGGGGGAUACUGCCCAGCUAGGGGGCGGGAGAGGCCGGCGGUAUUCCCGGGGUAGGGGUGAAAUCCUAUAAUCCCGGGAGGACCACCAGUGGCGAAGGCUGCCGGCUGGAACGCGCCCGACGGUGAGGGAUGAAAGCUGGGGGAGCGAACCGGAUUAGAUACCCGG